rnacentral:lncRNA from 10 species
GGCCGAGAUGAGCGGAUCUCCUGAGGUUGGGAAUUCGAGACCAGCCUGACCAACAUGGAGAAACCCCGUCUCUACUAAAAAUACAAAAUUAGCCUGGCAUGGUGGCGCAUGCCUGUAAUCCCAGCUACUUGGGAGGAUGAGGCAGGAGAAUUGCUUGAACCCGUGAGGCAAGGAUUACGAUGAGCUGAGAUCACACCAUUGUACUCCAGCCUGCGCAACAAGAGCAAAACUUUGUCACAAAAAAAAAAAAAAAAAAAAAAAAAAAAAGGCUGAGGUGUUAAACAACUAGUGUGACAGGGCUAGUUCCAAUGAUUCCAAUACAUACUGUCUCCUAAGUCUACAAUCAUAACUAAACCAUUUCAGUCAGAGGGAAAUAGGGAAUAUAGUGGCAAGGAAGCAAAUCACAUAGCAAGAGGGUGACAGAGGUUAAAUCACUACAUCAACAGAGAGUGGUGUAGUAAAGGGAGGAAGGGCUGGGAAAACUGCAUGAGGGUGGAUUACAGAGAGCUCUGAAUGCCAUUCUUGGUAGGAUAAAAUGUGAGAACUGAACCCCAACUGAGAAGGUGCCAAUUAAUUCAGGUGGCACUGACCUGUGAGGCUGAGGAGGUCUUAAUCACCAGAACACUAAAUGCUCAUUAUCCAACCUUUUAAUUAGCAAAGAAACUACCCUGUCUGGAAAAGUUUUCAGCAAAGAACUAAGAUUUGAUCAUGCUGUUAAAGAAAAAAAAAGAAAAGAAAAAAACAAUCCUCUGAUCUCUCCCAGGCAACAAAUCUUGUAUUUCAGAUGUAUGUUUUCAUAUCUUCCAGGUCCCAAUUGGAGAGAAAAUGAGGAAAAGGAGGAACAGAUGGGACUAAAAGCAGAAGGCACCUGAUGAAAGAGAAAAAGCAAGGCUGGGGGAAGGGUGUUUAGAGAAGGACUGGGAGAACAAAAGCAAAGAAUCUGAAAUGAGAGCAUGCUUUCUUCCGUUCCCAUGAACUUCAGAAUGAGCCACAUCUUUACUCAAAGCCUCCUCUGCUAUUUAUAUGUGUGACCUUAGGCUCUACAACCAUUCCAAAGAAAAACAGAUUAUAUGAACCUCUGGACUCUGGAGCAUUUUGAGGUCCUGUGGUAAAGGCCUUGGUCAUGUCUGCAUAAAAGUCAGCAUGGGAUAUCCUCAAAGCUGCAAGGCUCCACCUAUGUAGACACUACUGGGAGCAGGAUGCCUGGGAGACGAAGCAGGGCAGCAUAAAUUUUUGUAGCAGAGGCAGCAUCUACAGGGGGUGUCUUUGUGUCUCGGAGGAUUGUUGCAAAAGAGUUCAUAAAUGUGCAGUUCCCUAUCUUCCCCAACCCUUCAAAGAUGGGAAAGAACUUCAUUUAGAUGUUCCAUCCUACCCCGUUUUUUUACUGAUCUGGGCAAUACCAGGUCCCCUUAACACACACACACACACACACACACACACACACACACACACACACACACACACACUUCCUGCAAUAUAUUGUGCUGAAAAUCAGCCUUGCUGUCACAGUUCCAUUAUCAGGAGAGUUUGGAGUAAUGCCCAGCCUAGUCUAUAAUGAAAAAUUGUGGCUCAGUGUCCUGAUUAAAACCAUAUCAUCCUUUCUUGUCUAUAGCUCCGUUCUUAAUUUCAGUCUAGCCCAAGACGCUAUCUAAGGUGGCUUGGAAUGCAGGCCCACAUGUUCCUUUCUGCUGUGAGUACAAGCAGAACAGGCAGAGCUGGGAUUCAAAUUGACCUCUCUCUGAUUCUGAACCCCAUGGUCUUUCCCAUGAAGAGAUCUAGUUUUUUUUGUUUUUGUUUUUGUUUUUUUUUUUCAUCUGUUAGGGGCUGUUAUGGGUUGACUUGUGUUUCCUCCAUCCUCCCUGAAAAAGAUAUUUUGUAGCCCUAACCUCUAGUACCCCAGAAUGUGACCAUAUUUGGAGAUACGGUCUUUAUAGAAAUAUUAAAGUUAAAAUAGGUUCAUUUGGUGUGAGCUCUAAUCCCAUAUGACUGGUGUCCUUAUGCACAGAGGAAAUAUGAAUACCAAGAAAGAGACACAGAGGAAUCAGAGAAAAGACAGACACCUAUGAGCCAAGGAGAAAGGCCUAGAACAGAUCCUUCCCUCACAAUCCUCAGAAGGAACCAAGCCUACCAACAACACCUUGAUCUCAGACAUUCAGCCUCCAAAACUGUGAUGCAAUCAGUGGUGCUUUGUUAUGCCAGUCCCAACAAACUAAUACAGGAGAAAUUCAGAGUUUUCAAACUGGAAGUGCAUGUCCGUGAACAUUAGAUUGUUGCAGCCAUCCAACUGUACAGUGCACAGCUCCAGAGGGCAGUAUUCCCAGGGUCACAUCAUGGUGCAUUCCUGCACUAGACGUCAUACACCACACAGCCUCACACAGUGGUCCCUGACCAAGCUGACACAGAUAGAGUCUCCUCCUGUGAGACAUCUGUUACAUAUGUUACAUGUGUUAAACCUGUUAUAAAUUCAGUUAAAUUGCCCUCAAAGUAAAGAUUAUAAAAGAAGGAUGUUAAGGGAGAUACUGUUGGAUUUGUUGCAGUGCAUUUAAAAAUAGAUAACUUCAAGGCCAUGGAAUAUGGGACUGUUUUUUAGCACAAAAUUAUAAAAGUGGAGAACUAAUAUAUGUUAACCUAUCGGGAAACUCAUCUGAGUAUGAGCUGGGCAGACGUUUUGAUUGUCUAUGGAGGGCUGGACUUCCCACUUUUCUCCCACUCAUCUGACAGGAUCAGUUUUUCAGGUGAUGAAUUAGGAACAAGGUGAGAAGGAGGUGGCUCUAGACACCCUGGAUAUAGCACUGUUUUCUGUUAAUGAGAUUCAGAUGGCCUGAUAAUUAAAGCUGUCUCCAAAACAGAAUGGCUUUCCUCAUCUAGCAUCCUUGGCACAGGGUAAUUCAACUGAAGACUGGGUUCAUUUAUCCAUUCAACUCCCUAAUAAAUACUUAUGGAGUAUUAGGCAAUGUCCUGGAUAUUGGAGGAAUACAAAGAAUAGUGCCAGUCAUAUCAAUCUUGCUCUCAAAGAGUUUAGGUUCUAAGGAGAAAUAAGGUAGAUGCGUAGAAAAUUCCAAUAUAGAAUAUAAAACUAUGUGUCACAGAAAAAGU